GAUGAAGAACGCAGCGAAAUGCGAUAAGUAAUGUGAAUUGCAGUAUUCAGUGAAUCAUCGAAUCUUUGAACGCACAUUGCGCCCCCUGGUAUUCCGGGGGGCAUGCCUGUUCGAGCGUCAUUUCACCACUCAAGCCUCGCUUGGUAUUGGGCAACGCGGUCCGCCGCGUGCCUCAAAUCGACCGGCUGGGUCUUCUGUCCCCUAAGCGUUGUGGAAACUAUUCGCUAAAGGGUGUUCGGGAGGCUACGCCGUAAAACAACCCCAUUUCUAAGGUUGACCUCGGAUCAAGUAGGGAUACCCGCUGAACUUAAGCAUAUCAAUAAGCGGAGGA
rnacentral:misc_RNA from 1 species